rnacentral:rRNA from 1 species
AUUGAACGCUGGCGGCAGGCCUAACACAUGCAAGUCGAGCGGUUGAAGGGAGUUUGUUUCUCGACUCAGCGAGGGGCGGGCGGGUGAUUCCUGGGAAUCUGCCUGGUCUUUGGGGGUGACGUCAGAAAAGGGGAGGUAUUCCAACAUCCGAUCAGAGGGUGAAACAGGAGGAUUUUGGUAGAUCAAGCUAUUUGCUUCACCGAGGUCGGAUUAGCUAGUUGGUGGGGUAAAGGCCUACCAAGGCGAUGAUCCGUAAGUGGCCUGAGAGGAUGAUCAGCCACACUGGAACUGAGACACGGUCCAGACUCCUACGGGAGGCAGCAGUGGGGAAUAUUGGACAAUGGGCGAAAGCCUGAUCCAGCCAUGCCGCGUGUGUGAAGAAGGUCUUCGGAUUGUAAAGCACUUUAAGUUGGGAGGAAGGGCAGUAAGUUAAUACCUUGCUGUUUUGACGGUACCAACAGAAUAAGCACCGGCUAACUACGUG